rfam:Dipodomys ordii contig_2719, whole genome shotgun sequence.
UGUGGCUUAGCUUAAUGGUAGAGUGCUUGCCUUGCAUGCAAGAAGCCCUGGGUUUGAUUCCUCAGUACCACUU